UCAUUUCUCUUCAUUAACGUAACAGAAGCAGCAACGCUCCCAGGGAGGAAGAGAACGCCAAACCUAACGGCAACCUUCAACAUGCCGUAACUCCUCCGUCCGAGCUCCAAUCGUCGCACCGUUUGCGGCUACACGUUCACCGCGUCGAGCUCUACGUUUCUACCGGAACAAUUUCAUAGAUGCAGGUCGAGAGGCAUCUCGUUAGGCGUCUUGACUCUUGAAGCGGAGUGGUUAUUGGGUUAUUUUGUUAUGCUAUGAUGUAUAUAUAUGUACUUAGCUUUCUCUCUGCAUGACUUAUUCUUUUUUAUCCUCUUAGAGGUUUAUGGAGAGGCAGGAUUGUGUAUAUGUACUUUUGGGUUUUGGAUAUGUAUGUAUAUAUGUGUAAAUAUUCUCCGACCAGACUUGACUUCGCAGGCUGAGUUAGGAGCUUGUUA